UAAACACAAAAUCUCAAGUUUGCAGCUUCAGAUUCCAUAUCAACUAUUCUCAGAAUUAUUAAUAUCAAACAGAACCAUGAAAAGGUUAAACAAUUCAAGUACAUUAAUACAAAACAUACUAAGGCCAACCAGCAUCCAGCAUCUAAUACAAAUUGUGAAUUUGUCAAUCAUCUCUUAACAUAACAUAAUGAGGAUGGAAAAAGUAAACACAUCACGCAAUAUCAUUUCUUGUUGGUCCAGGGUCAUACUUCAU
rnacentral:lncRNA from 1 species